rnacentral:tRNA from 1 species
AGAGGGUUAGUUUAAUUAAAAUUCGGGGUUGUCAACUCCGGGAAGCUAGAAUAGCACUUUCUU